CUUUUUAGUACAUGUACUCGUAACGAUAUCCAUUCUUGCGACACGACGAGAUGCGCUUCUAUCGCUGACGAGGCCUUCGUGCCAAAUUGAGGAUAGGGUCGCAUCUUGGGCGUGACACUAGGCAAAGCCACCAAAUCGGUGCAACUGAAACUGUAUCGGUGCUGCCGAGUUUAGGUGACCAACUUUCUAUUGCUUCGUUACACAAAAUUAGAAUUUCCGAGUUUGAGUAUCGGUGUCAUCGAGUUGUGUCAUGGGACCGUUAGCCACCUUUUCGGUGUCACCGAGUUGUAUAUAUCGGUUCCACCGAGAUUCAGAAGUUGUUGCCUUUAGUGCAAGUCGGUAUCACCGAGUUCAUGACUUCGGUGUCACCGAGUUGGCCACUUUAGGUGUAACGGUUGGAUUUUGGGGAUAUCCUAUAUAUACCCCUUCACCCACCUCUCAUUCGUAGAGGAAGCACUCAGAACACACAUUUCAUUGCCAGAUCCAUUUUUCUGAGAGAGAGCCACCUUCUCAUGUGUUGAGACCAAGAUAUUCCAAUCCAAUCAUUUGAAACUUGAUCUCUAGGCUCCCCGAGUUGCUUUCCACCAAAUCAAUCUCUCCUACCCAUGCCUAUUCUGCGAGAGAGUGAUUUUGUGUUGAGGAGACUAUCUUUAGAAGUACAAGAGCAAGGAGUUCAUCGUUCUAUUGCAUCUAUUACCUUUUGGCAGGUGGUGCCUCCUAGAUUGGUUAGGUGUCGCUUGGGAGCCUCCUACUUCGUGUUGUGGAGUUGAACCAAGAUGUUUGUAAGGGCAAGGAGAUCGCCUACUUUGUGAA
rnacentral:lncRNA from 1 species